rnacentral:lncRNA from 1 species
UCCCCCUCCCUUGGAUGCUUUUUCUCUUAUGGUCUAGAUCCCUUUUUAUAGCCUUCCUAGCCUCCUGGUAUCAUAUCUGCUUGCUGCCUACUAUUUCCUUCACAUAAUAGGAUUUUUUACACGUUAAACCUCUCAAAUCACAUCCAAAACAUAUCCAGGUCGAAAACCUAUUUUCUAGCCAUUGGAUCGAGUCUAAACAGUUC